rnacentral:rRNA from 1 species
UACGUAGGGGGCGAGCGUUGUUCGGAAUUACUGGGCGUAAAGGGCGCGUAGGCGGCGCCGCAAGUCAGAUGUGAAAGUCCUGGGCUUAACCUGGGGACUGCAUUUGAUACUGGGUUGCUUGAAUUCGGGAGAGGAUAGCGGAAUUCCCAGUGUAGAGGUGAAAUUCGUAGAUAUUGGGAAGAACACCGGUGGCGAAGGCGGCUAUCUGGACCGACAUUGACGCUGAGGCGCGAAAGCGUGGGGAGCAAACAGG